GUUGGUUCCUAUAAAUUUUACUAAACACUCGUAUUAUAUUGAAGUACAGUACCACAGGAGACUUCGGACCAGCUUUAAACAUAACGGCCAAAACCAGACAUCCAAUACAAAAAAUGGAGAACACCAACAAAACUACAGCACCAUAUCGGCUCGUAACUUCCGUAGCCAUCAUCGUUAGCACUAUGCCCAUAAUCACCCGCGUCCGAGAGGUUAGUGUUGACCGGGAAAAAGGGGGAGAGUACAACCACACGGCCGAAAAAAAACAUCAACGCGCAUAAAUAUCAAUCCUCACCGUGCGUGGCACUAAAAGCAACCGACCGACACACACACACACACAGACCGGUAAAAGCACUUACCACACACCCGCGAAAGGAUACCUCUUGCUCUGAGUGUGAGUUGUGAAAAUGCAAGUGUGUACAGGCGGUGAGAUGGAAGCCCUUAACGCUGAUGGAAGCGACGAUUUUACUGCAGUUGGAAUUUACUACAACAGUCCCAUCCCAUCCGAUUCGCAGCACGGUAAGCAACACGGUUCGCGUAAAGCUUUUCCGCCUCACGACUAAACAGGGAUGGCCGGAGGAAAAAUGCUAAGCAGAAGACAAACACCCUUUACGCUUUCUACCAGUUUUGAGGUCAAAGACCAAUAAACAGUUUAACCCGUUUGCCGUUGGACAAACGGAUGGAAACCAUUUUGUGUAUUAGUUCCUCACACUGGCCCUCUGGUCUGCCCACAGCAGACCGCCGAAUAGCUUUUAUCCUUUCCGAGAUGAUGUUUCAC